rnacentral:rRNA from 1 species
GAACGCUGGCGGCGUGCCUAAUACAUGCAAGUCGAGCGAACAGACGAGGAGCUUGCUCCUUCGACGUUAGCGGCGGACGGGUGAGUAACACGUAGGUAACCUACCUAUAAGACUGGGAUAACUUCGGGAAACCGGAGCUAAUACCGGAUAAUAUUUCGAACCGCAUGGUUCGAUAGUGAAAGAUGGCUUUGCUAUCACUUAUAGAUGGACCUGCGCCGUAUUAGCUAGUUGGUAAGGUAACGGCUUACCAAGGCAACGAUACGUAGCCGACCUGAGAGGGUGAUCGGCCACACUGGAACUGAGACACGGUCCAGACUCCUACGGGAGGCAGCAGUAGGGAAUCUUCCGCAAUGGGCGAAAGCCUGACGGAGCAACGCCGCGUGAGUGAUGAAGGUCUUCGGAUCGUAAAACUCUGUUAUUAGGGAAGAACAAACGUGUAAGUAACUGUGCACGUCUUGACGGUACCUAAUCAGAAAGCCACGGCUAACUACGUG